UCUCAUGCAGUCAUUCUCCAAAAGGGAGCACUUUCUGUUUGAAAGAAAACAAAGUGCCUCCUUUUAGAGUGUUACUGUUUGAGA
ensembl:miRNA MIR519E microRNA 519e